rnacentral:lncRNA from 1 species
AGAACCAGCUCUUGUGGCAGAGGCAUCUGCUGAGAGGCUGCAGUGGUGUCAUAGUACAGGCUGGGUUAGUAGCCAGAGAUUAAUGUAAUUUAUGACCUACAUGUGUUCCUAAAUAGUAAUGGAGAAUUUUUCCUCAGAUUACUGGGAAAAACAUGUAACUUCUUGGACCUUGAAAAGGAAGCUUUAAGAUUUUUAAGGAGCACAUUUAAACCUAACACAGCUGGAAGAUUUCUCCACUGAUUUAAUGUGCACAGACUCAGACUCUUAGUAUCUGAGAAGAGAAUCAAGAGAAAGACAUACUCAGUUGAAAGAGAAUUAGCUUUAAAGAAGACUCAGGAUAUUAACAUCCCUGUUCUCCCCAUCAUGGGCUUCUGUGUGUUCUCUGCAAAAGCCCAGCCUCUCACUAUGCCUGGUAAGCUGUGGCAGUUUUAUGGCCAGGGUGCUGCAUGAAUCUGAAACUGCAGGUUUGGCUCAGCAGAAUUGACUUCUAAGUAAUGACUGUAUUCUAAUGUCUUACAUGUAAAGAUGCAGUCGGAUAGUUUUCAUUUAUUAAAAUAUUUAAUGAGUAAGCUGAUUAGAGAUUAGCACACUUUUUCUGAUAAAAUUUCUAGGUGAAUGCAGAUGAGAAGUAUUUCAUAUGGUAACCUAUCUCCAUUGUUGCUGUAUAAAUGUUUUAGCAGAAAUACUCGUAAUAAGAACAUAUAUCCUAAGUGA